rnacentral:tRNA from 1 species
GGUACGGCUGUACUCUUUUGAGCAGACAGCAUCGUCCUGUCGGGCGUCUUCACAAAGUACCUGCAUUCAGAGAAUCACGUCGGCCAGGCCGAUGUGAGAGUCCCUUUUGGGGCCUUAGCUCAGCUGGGAGAGCACCUGCUUUGCAAGCAGGGGGUCGUCGGUUCGAUCCCGACAGGCUCCACCAUGUUUGAGUUUGUUCAGGAAAGUUUUUCCGGGUCUGUAGCUCAGGUGGGUAGAGCGCACCCCUGAUAGGGGUGAGGUCGGUAGUUCGAGUCUACCCAGCCCCCCAUUCUCUGAAUGACGAUAAAUUCUAUCUUUAUAGCAUCGGACUGGGGCUGGGACGUGUCUUUUAAACCUGUGACGUACCAGCGUUGGAAGUUCCAUCAACUGGCGUGAGGCUAGGCAGAGACCCAGUCUCUUAUUGAUGAUCGUAAUUCCGAUCCGGGCUUCGACCCCGGGUCAUCGAACCCAGGCAACUUGUGUUAUAGGCCACGAUAGCCGCGUCUCCUAGAAAAUUU